UACGUAGGGUGCAAGCGUUGUCCGGAAUUAUUGGGCGUAAAGAGCUCGUAGGCGGCUUGUCGCGUCUGCUGUGAAAUCCCGGGGCUCAACUCCGGGCCUGCAGUGGGUACGGGCAAGCUAGAGUGCGGUAGGGGAGAUUGGAAUUCCUGGUGUAGCGGUGGAAUGCGCAGAUAUCAGGAGGAACACCGAUGGCGAAGGCAGAUCUCUAGUACGGUACUGACGCUGAGACGCGAAAGCGUGGGGAGCGAACAGG
rnacentral:rRNA from 1 species